CGAUGCAGCAGCAGUGGGCUUUGCAUGUUCUCAGGGUUAGUGUAGGGCACAGUGUGGUCAGGGCCACGGGGCAGCAGCUGGACCCCCAGGUCCUACAAUUCCUGUUGUGCUUCUCUUUCAACUUCCCCGCAUCCCAGGCCAGCAUGGACAGCUCUUCAACAGCGCUGGCUUCUCGGGAGGUCACCUGAGAAGUUCAAAGUGAGAUUCUUGCUUGCUCUGUGGAUUCCACCUCAUCCUUGAUCUUCACAUCUGGUUUCCUGCCUGAGUGUUGGCCUCUCUGACCAGAGGCUCAGCAUUAGAUGUCAGAGAACAGCUUUGCAGAGAUGGUUAAAUCAUAACCUGCAAUCGGGUAAUGGUAAGCCUGCAUAUGGAUCUCUUCACCGCUAUUUCUUCUCUCAAUCCCUCACAAGGCUUUAUUAAGUCACAUACAUAUAACGGAAAGGUUUUAUUUUUUCCCCCCUCCUGAGGAUCAUAUCAUUACCACGACCACUCCUGCUUGUCAAAAACGAGACAGUAAUGCUGGGAAGAGAAUCCCUCCAGACUCCCCUGAUGAACUGAAGACUGCUUUGUAUUUGGUUAUUUGGGGGGCAUCUUGUGUCUCCCUUCUAAGGCACUCAUGCACUUUUUAAGGUGUUAAAAUAACCUUUAAUAAAAUGAUUACGACAGAAGAUGGCAUUUGUCCUCUUAUACACAUGGCAAAAUACAAUGUUCCCCCCUUUUUAAAAAUUCUAAUUUGUUAUGACAGAAUGCAUUACAAUUCACAUUAUAGA
rnacentral:lncRNA from 1 species